CCCCGCCCCUCAUCAUCACCAGGUCAGGUCCUCUCCCCCAUCAUCACCACCAGGUCAGGGCCGCUGUCUCCUCUGUGCUGACCCUCCAGCCUCAUCACUGAAGCGUCCAGUGGGAACUACCAAGGGGACAAGUCCCCCUCGCACGGCUGAAACUCACCUGUCAGAGGCGCUGGUGUACCUGGAGCAGCCCGGGAGGUUGGCCAGCUCUGCCCGGGGCCCUGCUCAGACGUCCCGGCUCUGCCCAGGCCGAGCCUCCAGGCCCUCCCUGCCCUGCCACCACCAGCCCAAACCCGGGAGGCAGGGCCUUUGGCACAGCCUUGGGGAGGGGGCUUCUGUGGACCACCUCCUCCAAGUGCCGAGUCUCUCGCCCACCCCUGAGGUCCCCACAACCUUCUGGGAGAGCGAUGGCUGCUGAAAAAACGUAAAGGACGGCAGACCCUUCCCUCCAGGAUUCACCUGACCAUGUUUCUCAGCAGUGGGCUCUCAAGGCCUCCCUCGUUUCUAAGGCAGGUCACCCGCCCCUUCACUGUGUGCCCGCCUGCUGCAGUGAUUCCCGAGACCCUGCCAAAUUUCCACACAGGAAAAUGAGGGAGGUGGGCGGGAGACCAAGGGAAACGAAAAGAAAGUGAGCAGCUGGUGGAAGACUCUGAGCCGGGGCCUCCGGGACGCAGGUGCUCAUACCUCCCGGGAACCGGAAGUGCUGUGCUCCCCGCAGCGGCCUCAGGCUGCUCUCCCAAGCUCUGCAGCCUGGCCCAGCAUGGCCAGCAGCUGCCUGUGUGGUGGGAGCACCCCAGGCUCUAAGGAGCCAGGCUGCAGCCCUGUGCUGCCCGCCCCUGGUGCAUCCUCCCGGCCAGCUGUGGCCACCUGCACCGAAGGGGCAGACACAGGCGUUUGUGGACAAAGCGCCUGAGGCAGACACGGAGGCGGCAGGUUGGGGGCGAGGGGCGCUGCUGACGGGGAGGCGCCCGCCCAGGCCCACCUGGAGAACCUGUGCAGCCCAGGGUCUCCGUCAGCGUGGAGGCAGGCUGCACCCAGGCCCCUCCAGCCAGUCUGAGCCCACAGCCUUCCAGCUGGCCACCCGCACCAGGCCCCUCUCCAGCAUUCCACCAAUGGACUAAUGUUUACCUUCCCUUUCCACUCAGAGCACGUGCUCACUCUUCCCACCUGGCAGCUAAGUUAGGGUUUCUGGGUCUGGGGUGUUUCCACGUUUCCAGGAAGCAGGGUCACAGCCCACUUGGUUCUGCCAAGUGACCCCAAGCCAUCCUCAGCUACGAUGGUCCCGGGGCAGAGCCAUCACCUGCAACCAGGGGCAGCCCAUCUUCAGGGACACGCGCUGCCUAGAUGAGGGGAAGUGAAGCUGGCUCAGGGCUUGCAGACUCAGAGCUUUCUCCCUUGCUCUCCUCAUCCAAAACAAACUCAUCUCGGAGUCAAAAAGCCUCUGCUCUGCCACUCCCUGUGUCUCUGAGAUUUAGCCAUCACGUCGGAAUCUGUUUCCUCCUCUAAACGGGGGCUAUGAGGUCCCCGUCAGGCUCGGCUCAGACGACACAGGUGGAAGCAGUCUCUGUGCCCCGCAGUGCUAGUGUGGUAACAGCCGCACCAAGACGAUCCCCAAACAAGGCCCUGGUCCUGUGUCGCUCCUGGGGCUGGCGGCACAGGUGGGGAAGAGCCAGGAAGAAGGCCCCACAAGGCCACAGUCUGGAAGCACCGGCGAGGUGGGAGUCAAGGGGAUAAAAGUCAAAGAUAAUGUUAGCUCUAGUGACACGUGCUGCAGAUUACACACACAGGUUCAGACAGCCCCUGGGCUGGGGUGGCCUGAGUUCCAGCAGGUCUGUGGUGUUGUGGUGUCAGAGCCGAGACCCUGCGGUCGGUCAGCUGGUGGACAGGAGCUUGGCGGGGACAGGGUGGGGGAGCAGGGACCACAGAGGGAGAACAAGGCCAGACUCAGGGCCUCAAGGACCCUGCGACAAUUGAGUCUGACACUGAAUGCAACCCCACGAAUCUUUCUAUGUUCUAUGGGAGAGCGAAGGAGUCUAAGAA
ensembl:lncRNA